UCUUCGUACCUGGAUCAUCUCACAUGAGCAACAGGUCUUGGUCAUUCUUUUGCUUCCCAGCUGAUGAAAAGACAAGGAGUCACUGGAUAAAACACAUCAGUUUCCUCUUGGUAAAGUGAUGACCAGUGUUACGGUUUCAUGAGUGACCAUGUUAACAGGUGACUCAGCCGAAUGUGUCGUGGCUGCUUGAAGUGUCCUUAUAAAGACAAAGACCUUCAUUUCUGCUGCAAUGAGUCAGUCACAAAGGAUGCAAAGAAGUGAUUCAUGCCAAAAGCUCUUCCUCAUUCAGCCUGGAUCACGACCUCUGCAGACAGAACUCCUCAUCCUCCUCCUAACUGGAUACAUGCAGACCUGAACCCACUGCAGAUGCAUCAGUGCAUUAAUAUUUUGGAUGGAAAUUCUCUGCACAAUAAUUAUAUCUCCUGUAUAGGGCUGCAGGUUUCACAUAUAUUUUUGAUAUAAAUUUUAUUUUAUAAAAUUAAAUAUUAACAUCCUCUUAAUAAUACACAUAAUGUUGUAUAUAAACC